rnacentral:rRNA from 1 species
CCCUAUGGGGUGCAGCAGGUCACCGGCAUCAAUGCCAUCAUGUAUUACGCGCCUGAAAUCUUCAAACAAGCGGGCAUGGGCGCUUCAACAGCAUACAAUGACACGAUUUGGAUUGGGCUUGCCAAUGUGUUCUUCACCCUCGUUUCCAUGACCCUUGUGGAUCGUUUGGGACGUAAACCGCUCCUCAUUCUGGGGGCGGGAAGCAUGGGCGUGAUGCUCCUGCUGGUCGGCCUGGCCUUUCACAUGGGCAAAUCAGGCUUUUGGUUGCUGCCGCUGGUCCUGGCU